UUGCGCGUCAAAUUGACUGUGAGCUAUGUUUAUGAGAUUAUCAUAUCACAGCCAUUUUGACGAGUUUGA
rnacentral:pre_miRNA from 15 species